rnacentral:rRNA from 1 species
GCGAACGCUGGCGGCGUGCUUAACACCUGCAGGUCGAACGGUGAAGGGGUCUGCUUUUGUGGGCCCUGGAUGAGUGGCGAACGGGUGAGUAACACGUGAGUAACCUGCCCCCUUCUUCUGGAUAACCGCAUGAAAGUGUGGCUAAUACGGGAUAUUCUGGGUCUGUCGCAUGAUGGGUCUGGGAAAGAUUGCGCCUUUGGGUGUUUUUGGUGGGGGAUGGGCUCGCGGCCUAUCAGCUUGUUGGUGGGGUGAUGGCCUACCAAGGCGGUGACGGGUAGCCGGCCUGGGAGGGUGGACGGUCACACUGGGACUGAGACACGGCCCAGACUCCUACGGGAGGCAGCAGUGGGGAAUAUUGCACAAUGGGCGCAAGCCUGAUGCAGCGACGCCGCGUGAGGGAUGGAGGCCUUCGGGUUGUAAACCUCUUUCGCCAGUGAAGCAGGCCUGCUCCUUGUGGGUGGGUUGACGGUAGCUGGAUAAGAAGCGCCGGCUAACUACGUG